UCUCUGUAAACAUGUGCACAAUGAAACUCUAUCCAGUUAUUCUAAUCGUCGCCUUAUUAUCUGGAGUCAUUAAUGGAGAUACUAUAACAGCAAACAGAACAGAGGAUUUUGCUGAAGAUGGUUCAGAUGUUUCAUUAUCCUGCAGUUAUUCCUCUGCUCGGUCUUUACUUUGGUACCGUCAGUAUCCCAGAUCAGCUCCUGAAUUCCUCGUGCUUAUUCCAGACAGUGUGAAAACUCAGAAAUCUGAUAUAGAUGCCAGAUUCACUGCUGUCAUCACCAAAGAGAAAGAAAAACGUGUGUAUCUGAAGAUCUCCUCUGUUUCUCUAUCAGACUCUGCUCUGUAUUACUGCGCCCUGUUACAGCUGUGCGAGUAUCAUCACACCUAUUGA